UACGUAGGCAGCAAGCGUUGUUCGGAGUUACUGGGCGUAAAGGGUGCGUAGGCGGCUAUUUAAGUUUGGUGUGAAAUCUCCCCGGCUCAACUGGGAGGGUGCGCCGAAUACUGAGAGGCUAGAGUGUGGGAGAGGAAAAGUGGAAUUCCUGGUGUAGCGGUGAAAUGCGUAGAUAUCAGGAGGAACACCGGUGGUGUAAAACGGCUUUCUGGACCAUAACUGACGCUGAGGCACGAAAGCGUGGGUAGCAAACAGG
rnacentral:rRNA from 1 species